AUUUGUCUGGUUAAUUCCGAUAACGAACGAGACCUUAACCUGCUAACUAGAUUCUUUUAUUUUAUAACUGAUAUCUUCUUAGAGGGACUAUGUAAUUUAAAUACAUGGAAGUUUGAGGCAAUAACAGGUCAGUGAUGCCCUUAUAUGUCCUGGGCUGCACGCGUGCUACACUGAUGCAUACAACAAGUGCCUAACCAGACAUGGUAUGGCAAUCUCGAAUAUGCAUCGUGAUGGGGAUAGAUCUUUGCAAUUAUAGAUCUUGAACGAGGAAUUCCUAGUAAGUGCAAGUCAUCAUCUUGCAUUGAUUAUGUCCCUGCCCUUUGUACACACCGCCCGUCGCUCCUACCGAUACCGGGUGAUCCGGUGAACCUUUUGGACUCAUUUGGGAAAGAUAAGUAAACCAUAUCACCUAGAGGAAGGAGAAGUCGUAACAAGGUUUCCGUAGGUGAACCUGCRGAAGGAUCA
rnacentral:rRNA from 1 species